rnacentral:lncRNA from 1 species
AAAAACAUCUGUGGAUAUGUGAUGCAAGCCAUCACCAUAGCUAAGUAUGUAUCCAGAUAGAAUUUUCUACGGUAAGACCAAAUACAAAAAUUUUUAUCACCAUUUCAUCAUAAAAUAUCCAAGAUCUCCUAGUGAGACACUGCUGGUAUUUAAGAGCAGUCAGGGCUACCCAUUGCAGUCCAGGUGAGUAAAAAAUAAUACCGCGUCUAACACUGUAGGAAGGCCCUUCACAGUAGCUUCUUUCAUCCAUGUUGAGACAAGUUGCAUAUUGAAAUAAAACACAAUUUUGUUGAAUAUCAAAACUGCACAUGUUCUGACCAGUAGGCCAAUCAAAUGGGCAAAGAUUAAUCAAAUACCAAAUAGUCAGCAUUUUUAAAAAUUCAAGUCAUUUCAGAUGGCUUGAUUGUUGGACUAGAUGAUCUGAGUGGUCUUUUCCAACCUUAAUUGUUCUAUGAUUCUACGAAUAUGUGUUAUUUAAAAGAAAAAUUAAUUAAACUAAGCAGUACUUUAUUAUUUUUUCCAUUAGAAAUGUCAAGUGAAAACCAGACAAAUAGUAUUUAAAUAUACCUUUAAUGUGUGAUAGUCCACUCAGAAAAGUCAGUACUGAUGCUGAAUCUGACACUGUCCAAAUCUGAAUUACAAUAACAUUUCACAGCUUUGCUUUCUCCUUUAAUAUCAUGGUUUAAAAACUCCUUCAAACGUUGUUUCUAAACAGAAAUAAGUGUAAAAAGAACAGACUGAAGUAAUAUGAUUUAGUGACAUCAUUCGUUAUUAUAGACAUAAAUGAAAUGUGAAGGGAAUAUGAAAAAGGGAUUGUCAUUUCAGAAAGCCAAAUGCUUUUAUAUUUCCUUUUUUUUUCUUUUUUCUUUUUCUUUUUCUUUUUUUUUUUUCUCUCCAUAGGGAUAAAUAAUUCAGUCUUCUUUCUUGUGUAGCAUUUUGUUUUACGGUUUAAAGUACCUCUCAUUCGCUGGAACAAUCCUAAUGCUUACAUAAAAGGAAUCAAGGAAUUAUUUUCUUCUGAAUAUGAGAGAAGCAUCAUUGUCAAAAAAUCCCUGCUUUCUUUCCCUGACUGUUCUCUGUAUGACUUUGAAAUCCUGAAAUAUUUACAUCACGACAAAAGCUGUGAUAUAAUUCCAGAAAUUUUACAAGAGGUUCUCUCAAAAAUUUUCCACCUCGGUUGACAAGACAUAUGAUAUUCCCUGAGCAUAACAGCUUUCUUGCCAAAAAAUAAAAUAUGUUUCUACUUACUG